UUAAUAACAGUGAGAAGGAGUAGUAGUAAUAGAAGCUGGUUUAGAGAGUUGACGGUUGGUGCAAGUCAAUCCACGUUUCGUUAUGAACUCGCCUUUGAGUUGCAGUUGUGAACGAAAGUAGCAAUUGCCGUUUAUCCACGUUACGGAUCUAAGCGAAUGUAUAGAUUGAUGCUUCUUUAACGACCUUUACCGGACGUUUCGAACAUCUUUUAUUACAUUAAUUUAGGGUGGUACCGCGGGAAUCUAUAACCUCUCGUCCCUUUC
rnacentral:ncRNA from 1 species